AUUGAACGCUGGCGGCAUGCCUUACACAUGCAAGUCGAACGGCAGCACGGGUGCUUGCACCUGGUGGCGAGUGGCGAACGGGUGAGUAAUACAUCGGAACAUGUCCUGUAGUGGGGGAUAGCCCGGCGAAAGCCGGAUUAAUACUGCAUACGAUCUACGGAUGAAAGCGGGGGACCUUCGGGCCUCGCGCUAUCGGGUUGGCCGAUGGCUGAUUAGCUAGUUGGUGGGGUAAAGGCCUACCAAGGCGACGAUCAGUAGCUGGUCUGAGAGGACGACCAGCCACACUGGGACUGAGACACGGCCCAGACUCCUACGGGAGGCAGCAGUGGGGAAUUUUGGACAAUGGGCGAAAGCCUGAUCCAGCAAUGCCGCGUGUGUGAAGAAGGCCUUCGGGUUGUAAAGCACUUUUGUCCGGAAAGAAAUCCUUGGCCCUAAUACGGUCGGGGGAUGACGGUACCGGAAGAAUAAGCACCGGCUAACUACGUG
rnacentral:rRNA from 1 species